CUCUUUCCUAUCCUGAACUUGAGAAGCUCAAAUUUAUGAACAAGGUACCGGUAGGAAACAAUUCCAUAAACCCACACCACUGAUUUUUCCCUGCAGUGAUCUACAGUCAUCUAAAAGCAAAACCGUGUCAUAAAAACCUCAAUUUUUUCAUUGAAAAUAUUGUGAUCUGUGUGCAACUUUUUAUCACAUUCGGUUCUUUUGUAAUGAAUUUUGUGAUCCACGUGCAAUGGUUUAUCACAUUUGGUUCUUCUGAAAUUGGGAUCAUUUUGUAAUGAUGUUUUUGUCCGUUGUACAUGUAUAAACCCAGCAGCAUGAAAACUUGUAUUGAGCACCACGCGACCAUUCUGAAUUAAACUUCCACGCAUACAGGUCUGACUAAUACACUCAGAUCCAGCAGCAUAGUGCACAGGAAAAUUGACAUCUGUUCCGUAUUAUGUCCUCCAUCUUAGAUUCAGUAAUAACAAGAAAUUCACUUUAAAAAUUACAAGUGCAAGUGCAAUUUUUUGGCUAAACCUGUGCCAAAAACUGAACUUUGACACUUGGAACUUGCUCUGUUAGUGCCGUGUACAGUACAGUAGGGCUGCAUUACAUGUACAUGUACAUGACAUGUAUCAAUACAUGUAAAGACAAUUUGGAUAGGAAGAUAUUGGCACAUUGCUCAAGUCUUACAGUAAUAUUCCUUGUCACAGGGGAUAGUUAUUUUCAUUGGAUGUGUUGGCUGAAAGUACAUGCAACUGCCACGUUUGAUAGACAUUUUAGGUAUUAUUUGACACUUGAAGACCAGGAUGCAUAUUGUACGAAAUGUUCCUGUUGGGAACUUUGUCAGUAUUCCCCUUCCGGCAAGAGCAAAAUUUGAAAUAAAUGAAAUACAAUGACUUUUACAAACUGACUGAACUACCAGCCUUAUUUUCCUUACAAUGUUUAUUCAGUAUUCAUUGUUCUGGUCUUUGGGUUUGUUAUCAACAUGCAAUAAGGCCAAGAGUGUCAGCAGUAUCCAAUAUACAUGUACUUGUGUCAUGUAAACCUGUCAUCGUACUAAAACCUAUUCUUUGAAUAUUUCCUUGCUACAUUCUCAGCUCAAUUAUGCAUCUUUUCAUAAUUCAUAUAGAAAGUUUAAAGUGUAUUUUAAACUUGAAAGUUUCAAGUGGUGAAAGUAAAAGUUUGGUUUUGCAGAUUCUCCAGUAAAACAAUAGUACCUUCCUGUUUACAUGUACCUUUGUUGCAUAAAGGGAGAGUCAAAAAAGCACACACGUACAUGUAGACAGCCUGAAGUCAUUAGAGAUUGGCUGAAGAUAGUGACAGGCUUAAGUUAGCAUUGGUGCUUAAGUUGACAGAGGUAGACUGGCCGAUGUCGGCCGAAGUGGAUACGCUGACAGUAGAGGUAGACAGGAUGAUGUCAGCAGAAAUAGAUGUGCUAAGGUUGGCAGAGGUGGUCACGUUGACAGUGGAGGUGUACAGGCUGACAUCAGCAGAGGUGGUCACGUUGACAGUGGAGGUGUACAGGCUGAUGUCAGCAGAGGUGGUCACGUUGACAGUUGAGGUGUACAGGCUGAUGUCAGCAGAGGUGGACAAGCUAAUGGCAGAGAAACUGAAGUGAGACUAGAUGCCAUCCAGUCUAUGCUGCUUUCCUUAGGAUGUCACAGCGAUGUGAAUGAUACCAGUCCCCACUACGCAGCUGUUUGAGAAGCUCUUCCGUCUCAGUGGAUGCCUUUCCACCCAUGUAUUCAGUGACCAGGGAAUCCCAUCCUGGACAACGCACGUAAGGAUUUGAGUAUGGUGUCUCGUCACUGAUGCUCUAACCAUUUGUGGACGUUUUGCUACCAACAUCACCGCUCCAUGGAUAGCGCUGUUCUGUUGUUUCUCCAGGAGGCCUUGAUGCAUCCCCCCUGUAGAUACCCAACCAUCCUACAUGUAUGUGUGUUACCUGUCUCAUGAUGCCAUUGAUGUUAUGCUCUGGCAUACGCCUUGCCAUUGAUACCAGUUCCUAGUGGCUACUUUUCUGCAGUGGGCCCUUCUGUGCUAGUGUUGCAUCUCGUGAAUGUAUUGUGUGGCUUCUCACUGCUUGCUGGCUAUUGAGGGACAUACAUCAUUGGCUUCCAGUAAACUAAGAACUAGGCAGUUGAUCAUCUCGGUUAUCUCAUCAAACAGCAGUUUUAGAUGCCUCACAGAUUUCACAU